AUUUUAGGGCGGGUCAAUCUUAAUUAAAAUCAAAUUUUAAUUAAAUAUCAAAUUAGAAUCAAACUCUAAUUUCAAAAAUAUACAAGGGCGACAUAAUUUGAUUAAAAUCAAAUUUUAAUUAAAUAUGAAAUUAGAGUUCAACUCUAAUUCCAAUUGAGUUAACAUUUUAAUUUAGAAUAAAAUUCCUAAAUAAAAUAAACGGAAAAUUGCAACAGAGGACCCAAACCUUUAAAAUACUAGUAGACUUUCUUCAAACCUUUAAUUUGUUAUAACCGUCAUACCAAACCUUUCGAAAUGUUACAGCGGAGGCCCUUUUGGAUGAAACCUGUCUAAUUUUCCACCAAUUGACCUAAAAGGUUAAUUUUAACCAUGUACUGUUCCAGACUUCAAAUAUUUGGUUGGGCAACCUAAUUACAUCAAGUGACAGGAAAUAUAUUUCCUUAUGCUAGAAUCGAAAAUGCUAAUUUUGUUACUUUAUUUUCUGUUUUAGAUUCCUUUAAUUCUGAACCAAAUACUUAUAAAGAAGCAAUAAGUUGUAACGAAACGAGUUUUUGGCAUGCUGCUCUGAGAGAUGAAAUGAAAAUAUUUAAUAAAAGCAAGACUUGGAUUCUUGUUGAUAAACCAAAUAACUGGAAAAUAGUUGAUCGUAAAUGGGUAUAACAAAUUAAAGAAGGGAAAUAUAAUACUGAAACUAGAAGAUAUAAAACUAGACAUACCGCCAAGGAUUUAUAAUAGAUUAUCAUGAGAUAUUGUCACCUUUUGAAAAAUGCACAUCAACUAGGAUUUUUCUUUCCUAACUGCUCAUUAUUAUGGGAAUUGGAUUAGAUUAAUGUUAAAAAAGCUUUUUUAAAUGGCGAUUUAGAUUAAUUUCAUAUAUGAAUCAGCUUGAAGGUUUUAAAUUAAAUCCAAAAUUGAAAAAGUUUGUUUGUUAAAGAAAUUUUUUUAUGAUCUAAAACAAACUCCAGGGCAAUGGUAUAAAAAAAUAUAUAUAAUUCUUAUAUUCAAACUUUGAAUUUAAAAAGAGCAAUUGUGAUUCAUGUCUUUUCUAUAAUGGUGCAUGUGGUUAUAAAUAUAUUUAUCAGCUUCAAUAGGUUAAUGAUAUGUUGUUAGCAUGGUAUGAUAGGAAAGAAAUAGGUACAAUAAAAUCAAAAUUGAAAUCUGAAUUUGAGAAGGAAGAUCUAGUACAAGCAAAAAGAAUUUUAGGUAUGAAAAUUAGAAGAGAUAUAAAGAAUUGUAUUAUUUAUCUAAAUUAAUGUUAACAUGUCAUUAAAUUGGACCACAAUUUUUCAGCAGCACAUUCAAUCAAUUUUUACGAAGAUCUUCUAAAAAUCCUUCCCCCCCCCAUCUAUACCAAAUAGGGGCUUAAUAUAAUGAGCAAAUAUGUAUAAUUAAACUAUGUAGUCUAGGUUUGAUAUAUAAUCUGAAAAUGUAGUAUAAUUCUUCAUCUUUUAAUCGUGUACUCCUAUUACUUCGAUUUUUUGUACUCAAGCUAUUAUAGGGAGUAUAAGGUACUCGAAAGUUUUCUCAAGUUCAUUGGAGUUCGCUUCUUGUAAUAAUAAUUGUAAAUUUCUGCUUUCAUCAUUAAAUAAACAAUUUAUUUCUAAUGUUGUCAAAUUCUUUAUUGCAAAGUUUCUUUAAAUUGUACUCAAAUUUUCUUUCGUCCCGAAACAAUCAUGAAAAGAUGAAAGGUGUCUAGCGAAGCAGACUACUAUCGCACGGUAUCCCCUUUUAUGUUAUAAAGAAAGGCAUCCAUGAAAUGAGGGGUUAGAUGCGACCACAAUACAAGAUUCGAGGGUCAAUUUGUCAACACAAUGAUAAUGAUGAAGAUAGAUAAUAUUAUAAAUUUGCAUU
rnacentral:lncRNA from 1 species